rnacentral:rRNA from 1 species
GACGAAGGAUGCAAGCGUUAUCCGGAUUCAUUGGGUUUAAAGGGUGCGUAGGCGGCCUAAUAAGUCAGUGGUGAAAUCUCCUCGCUUAACGAGGAAACUGCCAUUGAUACUGUUGGGCUUGAGUACAGAUGCUGUGGGCGGAAUAUGACAUGUAGUGGUGAAAUACAUAGAGAUGUCAUAGAACACCGAUUGCGAAGGCAGCUCACAAAACUGUAACUGACGCUGAGGCACGAAGGCCAGGGGAGCAAACGGG